UUUGCCCCUAGAGGUAUUGCCAGUGUGGCUGCUGUGUCACAGGUGCGUCAGUAGGUGUCACAAAGGAGAAAGUAUCUAUGAACACU
rnacentral:snoRNA from 14 species